rnacentral:RNase_P_RNA from 1 species
CUAUAGACCCGCGCUAUCGCGGCCGGCUUUUCUUAUUGAAAACGACCGGUCGAGGAAAGUCCGGACAGCAUAGAGCAGCUUACCGGUGAAAUACCGGGGUCAGGUUGACUGAUCACAGCCAGCACCACAGAAAAUAACCGCCCGCCUAGUCCUCUUUUUGGGGGGCCAAAGCAGGUAAGGGUGAAAACGUACGGUAAGCGCGUACGGGAAGCAUUAGCAAUAAUGUUUUCGGGUAAGCCUUAAGCGCUGCAAUGUCACAUAUAGUCGGGGUAGAGAGCGGCUCGCUCGAUGUUUUGUUCUUUAGGGAACCAUCACAACCUGAUGGGGUAGGCAGCUACAUCAAAACAGUAAUGUUUUGGGCAGAUAAAUGAUAGUGUAGAAACAGAAUCCGGCUUACGAGGUAUAUAGCAAU